ACAUAUUAAGCUACUGCAGAAGCUCUAAUAACUAGUAAACUUUUCCGUUGAUCCAGGCCUGGGAUGUAGCUCAGUGGCAAGGGAGCUAACCUAGCUUCAGAGACGGUCUAGGUUCAAACCGGAAAAACACAGGCAAACAAGCAAAAUCUCCUGCCUCAUAAAUUCUCUUCCAUCUACAGGGCUUGCCCAAUGUAUCAUUGAUUUGAUAGCAGCGUAUUCUUCAGCCACGACACCAGCACUCUGAUGAGAGAACUGUGAGACCCUGGCCAAACGCCCAACGCGCGCUGUCCCUGGCGCUCUGGUUUCUCUGCACCAUCCAGCUCCUUCUGCCACGCCACUGCGCUUCGUUGCAGGGCACGCGGACUUUCUUCGACCUUAAUUCAAAAAAUGGAGAGCCAGGCCUUCUUCGCCCGUGUUCACCAUCUCCCACCUCCAGACACGUACAGCUUGCCUGCCCUGCUGUUUUCUUCGCGGCAUUUAAUAAAGUUGCCCUCAAACUUAAAA